rnacentral:rRNA from 1 species
AGCAGUCGCCACGGUAAUACGGAGGGUGCAAGCGUUAAUCGGAAUUACUGGGCGUAAAGCGCACGCAGGCGGUCUGUCAAGUCAGAUGUGAAAUCCCCGGGCUUAACCUGGGAACUGCAUUUGAAACUGGCAGGCUAGAGUCUUGUAGAGGGGGGUAGAAUUCCAGGUGUAGCGGUGAAAUGCGUAGAGAUCUGGAGGAAUACCGGUGGCGAAGGCGGCCCCCUGGACAAAGACUGACGCUCAGGUGCGAAAGCGUGGGGAGCAAACAGGAUUAGAUACUCCAGUAGUCCCUGUCUCUUAUAC